GUGCCAGCCGCCGCGGUAAUACCGGCAGCCCGAGUGAUGGCCGAUCUUAUUGGGCCUAAGCGUCCGUAGCUGGCUGCUCACGUCCGUCGGGAACUCCACUCGCCCAACGAGUGGGCGUCCGACGGGAACUGCACGGCUUGGGACCGGAAGGCUCGAGAGGUACGUCCGGGGUAGGAGUGAAAUCCCGUAAUCCCGAACGGACCACCGAUGGCGAAAGCAUCUCGAGAAAACGGAUCCGACAGUGAGGGACGAAAGCUAGGGUCUCGAACCGGAUUAGAAACCCGAGUAGUCC
rnacentral:rRNA from 1 species